rnacentral:lncRNA from 10 species
GCACCCCCAGUCUUUCCAUCCUCCUCAUUCGUCUAGGGGCACCCGAAUCCCCUAUUCCUUAUUUCCCCUAUCACUCAGGCACUGGCAGGGUCCUUGGCCCACUCCUGUUGGCCGCCGCGGCUCCAAAGCGAGCUGGGCAGAUGUGCCUGAGACAGGUUUGACCAGGCAACUGAAAAGACAUCCCUAAGGGAAGACAAAGCAAAGGUAUGAAAGGAACACACGUCCCUGACUGACUAGGAGGAACAGAGCUGCCUGCUGUCUGGAACCGCUUCCUCCCAGACUAAGGUUUCCCAGAGGAAGAGAGAGAAUUUGGACAAAUGAAUGAGGGACAACGUUCUCCUGAGGGUUUUCUUUAAGGGGCGAGGAUCACUGCCGCUAGCUCCUUUGAAAGCAGAAUUAAGAGGCAGUGCAGGAAGGCACAGCAGGAAGGCUCAUGGUUAGACCACAGAGAAGGAAGCAGCCACUGCUGGGGACCUACCCGGUGCUGGUCACUGACAAGCUGUCUCAUUAAACCUUCUCAGACCCUCAACCCCUCUUAGUAUCUUAUCCUCAUUUUACAGAUGAGAAGACUGCGGCCCAGAGAGGUCCAAUGCCAGUGGGAUCAGCUUCGAUGGGAUGCGCACAGACUGACCUCUUCUCCCCAGCCCCUUCAACUUCCCAGAGCUGCAGGGGGCCUGGGAGUUCUUGGUAACAGCACAUUAAACCUCUGUUUGUGGGAA